UAGGGAAUAUUGCACAAUGGGCGAAAGCCUGAUGCAGCAACGCCGCGUGAGCGAUGAAGGCCUUCGGGUCGUAAAACUCUUUUCUGAGAGAUGAGAGAGGACAGUAUCUCAGGAAUAAGUCUCGGCUAACUACGUGCCAGCCGCCGCGGUAAAACGUAGGAGGCGAGCGUUAUCCGGAUUCACUGGGCGUAAAGCGCGUGCAGGCGGUUCGGUAAGUUGGGUAUGAAAUCUCCUGGCUUAACUAGGAGAGGUUAUCCAAUACUACCGGACUAGAGAGUGGUAGAGGAAGAUGGAAUUCCAGGUGUAGUGGUGAAAUGCGUAGAUAUCUGGAGGAACACCAGUGGCGAAAGCGAUCUUCUGGACCAUUUCUGACGCUCAGACGCGAAAGCUAGGGUAGUAAA
rnacentral:rRNA from 1 species